ACACAUGAGACAACAGAAGUCAGUCCACAUGAUGUGACAACCCCAUCAAACCCCUAUAUACUGUAGUGUGUUCAGCUCAGUAUCAGCACAUUUAGACGCCAGGCGGCGCUAUUUCCUAACUUCUGCACCAACCGCAAUGUUUACCUCAAUUUGAAAGUAUCCCCUUACAAACGUAGAAAGAAAGAACGAAGCAGGGAACUUUAAUUUCUUCCUGAUGGGCCAGAAAUGCUCAAAGUUUAAGUUUUGGAUGUAGAAGUCGCUUCUAAAGCUGAUUUCACUACAAUGAACUUUUGAUCUAUUUACAAAUGAUUUGAUUGAGCAACAUAUGCUUGCACAAUAGGUUUAAAAAAGAAAAGAAAGAAAGAAAGCCCCGGAAGAGGAGAAAAAAGCUUGAGGAAAACAAGCAUAUGUCGAUAUUAAUCGAGAAAAGCUGAUUCACGAUUAAUCGAUGCGUGCUCGCUUAGAAAACAAACUCAACCCAUCUGCACGAAAAAACAUUCCAGCGUAAUGCCGCCAUGCGUGCGCCUCGAUCCACCCCGUCUCACUUCUCUCGUGCCUCACCUGAGAACCUAACAAUUCCAGCUCUAGCUGUCAAGGGGACUCUACCUCGUUCCAGAUGGUUGAAGCCCUCCAGAGGCCCCGAGGUAUGCCCAGAAUGCCUCUGUGUGUGUGUGAGUGUGUGUGAAGCAGGCCUCCUGUUUACUCCUACAGACAGAAGGGAGAGUCUGUCCAGUGCCAAAGGGAGUUACCACGGUGCAGUGUUUCGGUCAUGCUAAAUUGAUGGAACGGCCUGGAUCUCCACGCACACACGAUUCGAGGAUGAGUGGCAAAGAUUGCCUGCCACAGCUCACCACAGUGGGUUCUGCAUCCCUCAUUACACUGUGGUCUCAGGCCAUUUCCUCACAAAGUGACAAAGUAGUAAACCUAACCAGAACACAAACGACAACAGCGACAAAAGAGCACACAUUGGCUUGUUUUGAAACCCUCUCAGUGCAAUUAUGACUGUGAUCAGCUGCUAUACUCCGAACACCCCCAUCCUCUCUCUCUCUCUAUUUCCU